ensembl:piRNA 21ur-5262 ncRNA
UGUAAAAACGAGUUGAUUAUA